rnacentral:rRNA from 1 species
GCAAGGAAUUUUGCGCAAUGGGGGAAACCCUGACGCAGCAACGCCGCGUGGGCGAAGAAGGCCUUCGGGUUGUAAAGCCCUUUUCUAGGGGAAGAAGUUCUGACGGUACCCUAGGAAGAAGCCCCGGCUAACUACGUGCCAGCAGCCGCGGUAAUACGUAGGGGGCGAGCGUUGUCCGGAUUUAUUGGGCGUAAAGAGCGCGUAGGCGGUGCGUCAAGUCAGGUGUGAAAUCUCCCGGCUUAACUGGGAGGGUGCGUCUGAUACUGGCGUGCUGGAGUGCGGCAGAGGAGAGUGGAAUUCCCGGUGUAGUGGUGAAAUGCGUAGAUAUCGGGAGGAACACCAGUGGCGAAGGCGGCUCUCUGGGCCGUAACUGACGCUGAGGCGCGAAAGCGUGGGGAGCGAACUGAAUUAGAAACCCGAGUAGUCC